rnacentral:misc_RNA from 1 species
GAUGAAGAACGCAGCGAAAUGCGAUAAGUAAUGUGAAUUGCAGAAUUCAGUGAAUCAUCGAAUCUUUGAACGCACAUUGCGCCCGUCAGUAUUCUGGCGGGCAUGCCUGUUCGAGCGUCAUUACGCCCCUCAAGUCCCCUGUGGACUUGGUGUUGGGGAUCGGCGAGGCUGGUUUUCCAGCACAGCCGUCCCUUAAAUUAAUUGGCGGUCUCGCCGUGGCCCUCCUCUGCGCAGUAGUAAAACACUCGCAACAGGAGCCCGGCGCGGUCCACUGCCGUAAAACCCCCCAACUUUUUAUAGUUGACCUCGAAUCAGGUAGGACUACCCGCUGAACUUAAGCAUAUCAAUAAGCGGA